UGGGGAAUUUUGGACAAUGGGCGCAAGCCUGAUCCAGCCAUGCCGCGUGCGGGAAGAAGGCCUUCGGGUUGUAAACCGCUUUUGUCAGGGAAGAAAUCUUCUGAGUUAAUACCUCGGGAGGAUGACGGUACCUGAAGAAUAAGCACCGGCUAACUACGUGCCAGCAGCCGCGGUAAUACGUAGGGUGCAAGCGUUAAUCGGAAUUACUGGGCGUAAAGCGUGCGCAGGCGGUUUUGUAAGACAGAGGUGAAAUCCCCGGGCUAACCCGGGAACUGCCUUUGUGACUGCAAGGCUUGAGUGCGGCAGAGGGGGAUGGAAUUCCGCGUGUAGCAGUGAAAUGCGUAGAUAUGCGGAGGAACACCGAUGGCGAAGGCAAUCCCCUGGGCCUGCACUGACGCUCAUGCACGAAAGCGUGGGGAGCAAACAGGAUUAGAUACCCUGGUAGUCCACGCCCUAAACGAUGUCAACU
rnacentral:rRNA from 1 species